UUCCACAUAAGCCAGCCAGUG
rnacentral:misc_RNA from 1 species